rnacentral:rRNA from 1 species
GCAAGUCGAAUGGGUUUAGGCCCAUGGCAGACGAGGUAGGAACACGUAGGUACGUACCCUAAAGUCGGGGAUAACCCGUCGAAAGACGGAAUAAUACUCGAUGGUCCCUUCGGGGUAAAGAUUUAUCGCUUUAGGAACGGCCUGCGGUCUAUCAGCUUGUUGGUAAGGUAACGGCUUACCAAGGCUACGACGGAUAGGGGAGGUAAGAGCCUGACC